AACUGUGCCGCGGCGUCCUCUUGUUAUGAUCGCAUCCCCCUGCUGACUCAAAUCGCUGCCUGAAUACCGCCGCCGGGUCCGUACUGGCGGUUCCUGACAGUCUCCUCAGCCAGGAUGCCGGUCGCUGUACGUCACUCCUCAUGACGUCAUCUUGCGCGCCGGCACCGCUUGCAGCUUGCCAUUCUCCUCACUGCCGCCGGCCACGUUCUGCACACCGCAGCCCACUUCCUCCGCUGCCUAGGGCCGCCUACUACACCCCCCUCCGCUGCUCAGCCUGAAGACUCACUAAAUGCAAUGAAGACAUUAAAGAAGAAUUUGACGCAACUGCCUUGGAAGAAAAACAUCUAUAGAUGUGUCCUAAUUCAUUGUGGCUUCAGACACGCUAGAUACUGGGUGACUCAACGGUGCUAAUCUUAUUAUUAGCUCAAAAAGCGCAACGGAGAAUGCUGAGCUAUUUUGAGGGUGUCAACUUGGUGCCUCACGACAGAUUGAACCAGCUCAACAUUGCGAAUGUUACUUCUGACCACAUAAGAUGAUUCGUAUGCGAAAUAUCUGAAAAAAACAUAGAAAAGUGGUGCUAGAGUUGACAAUACUGUGAACAGUAAAUAAAAAAA